CUGUGUCUAACCUGUCUGUAGGUAUGGUGAUCAGGCAGCCAGAGGAAUCCCCAAGACCAGUCCUGGUAGAGGAGCAGGAGGGUUCUUCUCUGGAGUUCUCACUGCACUCACCUGUGUCGCGGUGAUGUUUCUGGUGUACCACUGGUCCAGUGGAGAUGGAGUCCAUGACCUCUUGGUCAGUAAGCCUGUGUCAAAAUGGACGCCGGAGGAGGUUCUGUUCUGGUUGGAACACCUUGGGGCUUGGACCUCUGUCUAUAAAGAACCCUUCCUACAGGAGAACGUUAAUGGACGGUUAUUGUUGAUGCUCGGUGAUGAGGAGCUGACCAGAGCUCCCUAUAACAUAGACAACCAGGCCCACAGGAGAGCGAUGAUGGCUGAACUGGAGAGGAUCAA